GGCUGAAAGUUAAUUCUUUCAAAACAAGAAUUAUAUGAAUAGAUUUUUAAUGUUAUGAACUACAGAUUAGUUAGCAAGGCAGAGAUAGCUAUUGAAUUAUAUAGAGACAGGGUAGAAAUGCUUUACGUGAGAUCUUUCAGAUCUUUUGUCAAUUCAGCUUUUUCUGUUUUUGAGCCCUUAAACAACAUUCCACAGGUCUCUGCCCCUGCUUAAAACAUCACUGGUAGCUGUUUUAUUAGAUAGUGAAUAUCCAAUAAGGUAUCAACUCAAUUUUGAGGAACAACAGUAAGAUUUUUUUCCUUAUGUGCGUGUGUAAGACUGCUAGGGUCUUGUCUAUUACAGAAGAUAACAAUGGGCGAUAACUAUAAUGUCCUUUUAUAAAAUUGCAUAGUAUUACCAUCUGAACGUUUUUCCUCCAACUAUAAAAUUGAUGCAGACCUGGAAAAUAAACAAUUUUGAAUAGAGCUUCAGCUCUUGUUUGCAAAGUGUAGAUGGGAGAAAACUAAGGUGUUUUUCAUUUUUUUCUCAGAGAUCGGGCUAACUUGUUUCUCGAGCACAAUUAACUAUCAAUAAAUCUUUUAGCAUGUGCUUAACUUAAUAAAACAUGUUGCUUAGAAUGUUCAAAAGAAAUUUUAUAAAUUACUUUAUUAUGAAGCCAAAUAAGGUCAUAUUGUGAUUUUUCCUAAUAUCAUUAAGUUUAGUAAUUCAGAGGUUAUCAUUGAAAGCUUUCAUAUAUCUCAUCAUCAUUAAAUACCUGAACUUCAAUAUGCAAAGUUUGUAAUUUCUGGGAAAACAACAAGCACAUUUAUUAAACAGUCUUGGUUGCAUGGCAUUUAAUGCCUCAAGCCUCUUUUUACCAUAUUAAAUUCUGUCCAGUUAUAAAUA